ACCCGACAGUUUUUGACAGACCAUCACUUUAUGGCACAACACUUGUUUUCUGGUCCAUUUCUCUCGUCCACAUCACACUUUUGGAUGAGCUCAAAGUCAGUAUGGAUCCCAUCCUACAGCUGGGGACAAAUAGCACAUCUGUCUGCACCUGACCUGCACGACACGCAACUGUGGUCAAGUGAGCCGACUGUCAGAAAUACUUUUUUUUACCACAGCAAAGGCAAAUGGAAGCAUGCACAUAUUACAAAGAUGUUGACUUCCAGCUUUCAGUGUCACAACUCUGACCAUCCUACAUGUCUAUAAGAUGAUGUGUUCAGCUCCAGAGAAAUUUACUCCUGCCUUUGAGAAUGAUUUUAAGAAGAAAAUCUUGGACAGUAGCAUCUGUACUACUGAUGAUUCUAAUGAGAGCCUUCAGGGUCCAUACCAUCACAUGUCAUCUAACAGAGUACAAGAGAGGAAAUAAAUGCUGUCUACUGUGUCCUCCUGG